CAACGCUUUGGCCGAGUGGUUAAGGCUUGUGUCUGCUAAGUACAUGGUGUUUCCCCGCAAGAGUUCGAAUCUCUCAA
rnacentral:tRNA from 1 species